CCUACGGGAGGCAGCAGUGGGGAAUCUUGCACAAUGGGGGAAACCCUGAUGCAGCGACGCCGCGUGAGCGACGAAGCCCUUCGGGGUGUAAAGCUCUUUCGGCAGGGACGAUAAUGACGGUACCUGCAGAAGAAGCUGCGGCUAACUACGUGCCAGCAGCCGCGGUAAUACGUAGGCAGCGAGCGUUGUUCGGAAUUACUGGGCGUAAAGCGUGCGUAGGCGGUCGGCUAAGUUUGGUGUGAAAUCUCCCGGCCCAACCGGGAGGGUGCGCCGAAAACUGGCCGGCUAGAGUGCGGGAGAGGGAAGCGGAAUUCCUGGUGUAGAGGUGAAAUUCGUAGAUAUCAGGAGGACCACCGGUGGCGAGGGCGGCUUCCUGGACCGAGACUGACGCUGAGACGCGAAAGCGUGGGGAGCAAACAGGAUUAGAUACCCCGGUAGU
rnacentral:rRNA from 1 species